rnacentral:tRNA from 1 species
GCCGGUGUGAUGGAAUUGGUAGACGUACUUGACUCAAAAUCAAGCGCCGCAAGGCGUGCCGGUUCGAGUCCGGCCACCGGCACCA